rnacentral:misc_RNA from 1 species
AAUUAAAGAUUUGAAUACAGAAAUAUAUUUGUCAGACCCUUCUUCACCUAAGAUUUCAUAGAGAGUUAUUGUUUUCAUUGUUCUUGUUCCUUUUAUUUUUGUUAUUUUUAACGCUAACUAAGAAGAAAAUUCCCUCUUAGUAAUAACUGCUUUCAUAAACCAGUUGAUUAUCAUAGUAGUAAAAUGUAUCCCAACUACGAUUACCGUAUAAUUUAUUGGUAUAUAAGGCUGGGUUAAUUUGUUUUCUAACAAUGCUGUCUUUGGUUCGUGCAAGUGGAUAAUCGAUAAAUUGAUUUAGCAUUGGCAUAGUUUCUCCACUCAUAGAAGUAUAUGUUUUUACAGUUUGCUUUUUGAUGGGGAGAAACCAUGCUGUUUUUUCGGUUAAUUUAAUAAUUUACCAAAAAGUAACGUUAGUUUGUUCAUAGGCCCAACUACUAUUUUCGGCAGAAAGUUGCCCCCGAGGUGGACGACCUUUUGGGAGAUUUCAAUUUCUUUUUGUUUCUAUUCACCUCACUUUUUUUGUUUUUGGUAGGUCAUUUUCGUAUAACUAAGCGUUCGUCGGCGUGCUUUGGGUUCACAACAUGUGGUAGGUGAAAACAAGGGAUUGCUGUAGAAAAAGUUUUUUCUCCCAUUGUUUUGUCCUACCAUUCGUUGUAAAAACAUUGUCGCCGAUUAUCGCUUAGAAUGGGUAUACGAAAGUGACCAACAAAAAAGUAUUGGAAUAAAAAGAAAUCGCACUGAAAUCUCCCAAAAGG